rnacentral:lncRNA from 1 species
GUACCAUUCUGGGCCCCAGCUUCCACCAAAUAUCGGGACCCCAGCCCUGGAAACCAACCCCCAAAUUGCUCUCCCUCCUCUAGGAAAAAGAUAAUUUAUCUCCCACUUUGACUCUGUGGUCCCACCCCUUCUCUUCUCUUGUCUAGACUUCCAAGUGCUGGCCUUCAUCUCCCCGCAAGAUGCGCCCCCUCCAACUCUCAGCCUUCAUCUUCCUACUGUCACUGUCUCCUUCACAAGGAGAGCAGCAAGAGAAAGAAAGAGAGAGGCAAGCGAAAUUCCUGAAUGGAUAGACAGAUGCUACGUCAUCGGAGCUGCAUCCUCCACUCCACAAGAGGCUAGGAGCUGGGGGGAGAGAGGCAGUCCAGCCGCAGGGGCCACCCGAACAGUCUCUCCUCCUCACAGAAGCCUGGAGCUGGGCAUCCAAGAAGAAGCAGCCUCAUUUGUUUUCUGGUGUCAUCGUAGGUGGCCACCUAUGGCUUUUGGGCUUCUCACCUGGGGCGGGUGGGUUCUGCACCACCCUCCCACCCUCCUUCCUCCGUGUGGACGAUAGAGCCACAUCCAGCACCACGGACAGCUCCCGGGCGCCUUCAUCUCCUCGUCCUCCAGGCAGCACAAGCCAUUGUGGAAUCUCCACCAGGUGUACAGAACGGUGCCUCUGCGUCCUGCCACUCAGGACCUCUCAAGUCCCCGAUGUGAUGGCUCCUCAGCAUGAUCAGGAGUGAGCGUAAUUCAGACCUAUUUAGAUCCGUCAGCCCACGGACCAGGGGGACCUUGAGCAGGACAGUCUUUUGUCUCCAAGCAGUCAUUCCCUGUUAUACAAGCAAGAGUCAGGAGGAGGAAUGGUUUUGGCAUCAUCCCCCACAGACAGCAAUGGGGCCUUUAGGCCUGGAAGGAAGGACCAGGCUGCGGCUGGCAUAUGGAGGUUGAGCCCUGGGCACGGGGCAUCAGCUUCACCCGGCUGGGGAUGCCUUCUGCUGGGUUUGUCCAUCUGGCACCAGCUGGCUUCCCAGCACCGCCCCCACAACCAACCAGACUCCUCCUUCUGCUGUUGCCAUGGCAAUUGGCUGCCAUAUUGUACCUCAGAGCACUAGCUCCUAUCUGGAUUUUCCCGCGGGGUUCCUAGAGGGUGGGAGAUGGGUCUCCAGGGAUUUAUCCCUUUCCCCUGAUAUCUAUCCAAUAAAAAUUCAUAAUAACAUAUGAUUUUUUAAUA